GGGCCUAUAGCUCAAUUGGUCAGAGCCACCGGCUCAUAACCGGAAGGUUCCAGGUUCGAUUCCCGGUAGGCCCACCA
rnacentral:tRNA from 1 species